AUGGACUUUUGGGUUGCUUCCACCUCUUGACUAUUGGCAUAGCCCCAUUUUUAAAAUAUUGCAAUUUAAUUUAACUCUUACCUUCUCAUUCCCUCUGGUGGAUUUAAUAAAUGCAAUAUCAUCUGUAAGGCACGUGUUCCAAUAAGGAAGAGAAUGUAGCAUGAGAAGAGAGUUGAAGGCAGAACCCUAGGGAACCCAGUUCUUUUAAGAUGCCAGGAAACUAAUAAGAAGGAGGACGAUAAGGAAGGAUCAGUGGGAAAGAAGAAGCCCCAGGGAUAGGAGCGCUUCCAAGAGGAAGAAGACAAAGGUCAGAAAGUACAAGGAGGCCAAGUAAGGUAUCAGAUGAUGAUGACGAUGAUGAUGAUGAUGAUGAUGAUGAUGAUGAUGAUGAUGAUGAUGGUGAUCAUAUCCAGAGAGAAGCAAAGUGAAUGUGCCCUGGACAACUUUCAGGAAGACAGUUCUGGUCUGUAGCAAUUAACACAUGGUCAUCCUCAGAAAAAGGUCCUCUCAAUUAUUUCCCAGAGAUACCCAUAACUUAAAAUGCAGGAACCAAGAGAUUUGAGCCUAGACAUUUGGAUGAAAAGCGAUUUCCACCUGGAGAAAGUCACUGCCCUUCUGUGCAGAGUACCAUUGUGUCUUGAAUCCAGCUUGGCCAUAAGGAAAUGGGGCGAGACUUUGUCAUGUAUGUCGCUGAAGUUCAGCUAUGCAAAAAUGUUCACCUAUCCUUGAUCAACCAGUCCAGGAACCAUCAAAGAAGAAAAUGAGAUUCGACUUAGAAGACCUGUUCUUUAUAAACCCCUGCACAGCCCUAAUGAUCAACACCACUUCCAGUGCUCAUAAAUUACUGCUUCAAUAAUUGUUCUGCAAUUCUGCCUAUUCUCAUUGAAUGCUUCGUAUAAUCCCUUUAUUUACUUUGGGCUACGAUUCAUUUUUAUCAGUCAAAUGACUACUAGACUAUCCUGGUUUCUAAUUUGAAAUGUAUCCAAAGAAGAUUCCUGUCUCACCCUCUGCAAUCCACUUGCAUGUCUGACCACACUCGGUGCCUACACAAUCUUCACUUUGUCUAGCCUAAAUUCUUCUAACUGUGGCCUAAGGCCUUGGAAGAAUGAUGCCUCUGUGGGGUAAGAACUGCCUUCGUGGCAUAAGAAAGGCAGACCUGGGUGAUCUGGAAGGGCUGUUGCAAGGGGAUAGGAGUGCUGAGGCCUUUUCCAUUAAGAAUACACAGGACUAUGGAGACUCUUGUUUUACUAGAAACUUCUUCACAGAUACCUUAAAUUAGGAAGAAAAUGCCUUUGGUUCUUGGUUCUACUAUUGGCUUCAAAUUCUUAGGCAUGCCAGACCCUACUGAACAUCUUGACACAUGUCCUUUCUUCUCUGAACUGGCGCACAGGCAUGGUGAGUAACU
rnacentral:lncRNA from 1 species